AUUGAACGCUGGCGGCAGGCUUAACACAUGCAAGUCGAGCGGAGAUGAGGUGCUUGCACCUUAUCUUAGCGGCGGACGGGUGAGUAAUGCUUAGGAAUCUGCCUAUUAGUGGGGGACAACAUUCCGAAAGGAAUGCUAAUACCGCAUACGUCCUACGGGAGAAAGCAGGGGAUCUUCGGACCUUGCGCUAAUAGAUGAGCCUAAGUCGGACUAGCUAGUUGGUGGGGUAAAGGCCUACCAAGGCGACGAUCUGUAGCGGGUCUGAGAGGAUGAUCAGGCGAGCUGGGACUGAGACACGGACCAGACUCCUACGGGAGGCAGCAGUGGGGAAUAUUGUACAAUGGGGGGAACCCUGAUCCAAGCAUGCCGCGUGUGUGAAGAGGGCCUUAUGGUUGUAAAGCACUUUAAGCGAGGAGGAGGCUACUGAGACUAAUACUCUUGGAUAGUGGACGUUACUCGCAGAAUAAGCACCGGCUAACUCUGUGCCAGCCGCCGCGGUAAUAC
rnacentral:rRNA from 1 species